rnacentral:rRNA from 1 species
CACGUAGGGCGCAAGCGUUGUCCGGAAUUAUUGGGCGUAAAGAGCUCGUAGGCGGUCUGUUGCGUCUGCUGUGAAAACCCGGGGCUUAACCCCUGGCUUGCAGUGGAUACGGACAGACUAGAGGUAGGUAGGGGAGAAUGGAAUUCCCGGUGUAGCGGUGAAAUGCGCAGAUAUCGGGAGGAACACCGGUGGCGAAGGCGGCGAUCUGGGUAGAUACUGACGCUGAGGUGCGAAAGCGUGGGGAGCAAACAGG